rnacentral:rRNA from 1 species
CGGGCUCUUCGGAGCUAGUGGCGCACGGGUGAGUAACGCGUAACUGACCUACCCCAAAGUCGCGGAUAACGAUUCGAAAGAAUCGCUAAUACGUGAUGUGCUGCUCCCUCGUGUGGGAUCAGUAAAGAUUUAUUGCUUUGGGAUGGGGUUGCGUUCCAUCAGCUAGUUGGUGGGGUAAAGGCCCACCAAGGCGACGACGGAUAGCCGGCCUGAGAGGGUGGCCGGCCACAGGGGCACUGAGACACGGGUCCCACUCCUACGGGAGGCAGCAGUUAGGAAUCUUCCACAAUGGGCGAAAGCCUGAUGGAGCGACGCCGCGUGAGGGAUGAAGGUCUUCGGAUCGUAAACCUCUGAAUCAGGGACGAAAGACGCGUAAGCGGGAUGACGGUACCUGAGUAAUAGCACCGGCUAACUCUGUGCCAGCAGCCGCGGUAAUACAGAGGUCUCAAGCGUUGUUCGGAAUCACUGGGCGUAAAGGGUGCGUAGGUGGCGUGGUAAGUCAGAUGUGAAAGCCCGGGGCUCAACCUCGGAAUUGCAUCCGAUACUGCCAUGCUUGAGUACUGAAGAGGUGACUAGAAUUCUAGGUGUAGCAGUGAAAUGCGUAGAUAUCUAGAGGAAUACCAAAGGCGAAGGCAGGUCACUGGGCAGUUACUGACACUGAGGCACGAAGGCCAGGGGAGCGAACGGGAUUAGAUACCCCGGUAGUCCUGGCAGUAAACGGUGCACGUUUGGUAUGGGCGCAAUCGACCGCGCCCGUGCCGGAGCUAACGCGUUAAACGUGCCGCCUGGGAAGUACGGUCGCAAGAUUAAAACUCAAAGAAAUUGACGGGGACCCGCACAAGCGG